rnacentral:rRNA from 1 species
GUCCACGCUGUAAACGUUGGGCGCUAGGUGUGGGGGACCUCUCCGGUUCUCUGUGCCGCAGCUAACGCAUUAAGCGCCCCGCCUGGGGAGUACGGCCGCAAGGCUAAAACUCAAAGGAAUUGACGGGGGCCCGCACAAGCGGCGGAGCAUGCGGAUUAAUUCGAUGCAACGCGAAGAACCUUACCUGGGUUUGACAUCGCCGGAAAACUCUCAGAGAUGAGGGGUCCUUCGGGGCCGGUGACAGGUGGUGCAUGGCUGUCGU